UAGGAGAUUUCCAGAGAACACUUACGUGUCCAUGAUGCCAUGUGUGACCUUUGGUCCAACCUGUGACCAUACGAAGACUUUGGAGAAGCCAAAUAUUUAUCCCAAACCACAUCUCCUGACAUCCAUAACAGAUGCUGAAUGUUCCGUGUCCGUCCCGGGCUGCUGGCUGAUUUGAAUCCCCUCCCUGUGCCUGCUAAGUGUCAGCUCUGGAGGCCACCCCCACAGUGUCCCUCCUGCAGGUAUCCCUUUGCCUUCACCACUUAGUUCUUCAGGUGAUGACAUCAGCCCUCCCCUUCACCAACCUUUUUCAAGUUUUCUUCCUCUCUUUCACUCUCUCUCUUGCCAAACUUUAUUUGUACUUAAAAAAAAAAGUAAGUAGACACCAAAAUUAAAAUGGAAAACUAUCUGAGAGCUG
ensembl:lincRNA